rnacentral:rRNA from 1 species
GAUGAACGCUGGCGGCGUGCCUAAUACAUGCAAGUCGAGCGAACAGACGAGGAGCUUGCUCCUCUGACGUUAGCGGCGGACGGGUGAGUAACACGUGGAUAACCUACCUAUAAGACUGGGAUAACUUCGGGAAACCGGAGUUAAUACCGGAUAAUAUAUUGAACCGCAUGGUUCAAUAGUGAAAGACGGUUUUGCUGUCACUUAUAGAUGGAUCCGCGCCGCAUUAGCUAGUUGGUAAGGUAACGGCUUACCAAGGCAACGAUGCGUAGCCGACCUGAGAGGGUGAUGGGCCACACUGGGACUGAGAGACGGUCCAGACUCCUACAGGAGGCAGAGGUAGGGAAUCGUCCGAAAUGGGCGAAAGCCUGACGGAGCAGCGCCGCGUGAGUGAUGAAGGUCUUCGGAUCGUAUAACUCUGUUAUUAGGGAAGAACAAAUGUGUAAGUAACUAUGCACGGCGUGACGGUACCGAGUCAGAAAGCCACGGCUAACUACGUG